rnacentral:rRNA from 1 species
AGUCGAACGAGGUGGCCCACAGAAUUUGAUAGAAACUUUGAGAGCUUGCUCGAGAAGUGGAAAGAGAAGGACGUGGAAUUUCCACCUAGUGGCAAACGGGUGAGUAACACGUGGGUUACCUACCUCUUAGAUGGGGAUACCAAUUGGGAACGAUUGUUAAUACCGAAUGUGAUCUACGGAUUAAAGGAAGCCUUUAAAGCUUCGCUAAGAGAUGGGCCUGCGGUGCAUUAGAUAGUUGGUGGGGUAAGAGCCUACCAAGUCAACGAUGCAUAGCUGAACUGAGAGGUUGAUCGGCCACACUGGGACUGAGACACGGCCCAGACUCCUACGGGAGACAGCAGUUAGGAAUAUUCGUCAAUGGGGGAAACCCUGAACGAGCAAUGCCGCGUGAACGAUGACGGUCCUCUGGAUUGUAAAGUUCUGUUGUUUGGGAAGAACGGCUCUAAUAGGAAAUGAUUAGAGAUUGACUGUACCAUUCAAGAAAGCCACGGCUAACUACGUGCCAGCAGCCGCGGUAAUACGUAGGUGGCGAGCGUUAUCCGGAUUUAUUGGGCGUAAAGCGUCCGCAGCCGGUUUAUUAAGUAUAGAAUAAAACUUCGGGGCUCAACCCCGUCUCGUUCUAUAAACUGAUAGACUAGAGUGUGGUAGAGGCAAGUGGAAUUUCUAGUGUAGCGGUAGAAUGCGUAGAUAUUAGAAGGAACACCAGUGGCGAAGGCGACUUGCUGGGCCAUCACUGACGGUCAGGGACGAAAGCGUGGGGAGCGAAUAGGAUUAGAUACCCUAGUAGUCCACGCCGUANACGAUGAGCACUAAGUGUCGGGCAACNGGUGCUGA